GAGGAUCAUCCACUCUACUCCUAGCUCACACACCCUGCUGCAUGUGGCAGCAGGGCUGCUGCCCAUGGCAGCAGCUUCUCUUUGUCUCUCUCACGUUAUCUCAACUCUCUCAAAGCUCUCUUUGUAUGGUGCCUAUUUAUAGGCAUGAUGGUGGCUUCUCUUCUUCUUUCCAGCAGCUGCAGCUGCAGUCAAUGGUGGCUGCCAUCUUCUUCAACAAAGGCUGCUGGUCAAUGUUUGGUGGGGGUUGGUGGUAGUGUAAAAUCAAUGGCAAUACCUAACAAUCACCCCCUUUGCCAUUUAUGUGGGCAAUUGUCCUCUUGCUUCUUCAGCACAAUCUUGCAUCCUGCAGCUCUUCCAAGCUUACCAUUCC
rnacentral:lncRNA from 1 species